GGUCCCGCCUGCCCAGUGACUCUUUAAACGGCCGCGGUAUCCUAACCGUGCAAAGGUAGCAUAAUCACUUGUCCCCUAAAUCGGGACUAGAAUGAACGGCUAAAUGAGGACUAAACUGUCUCUUACAGAUUGGCCAAUGAAAUUGAUUUCCCAGUACAAAAGCUGGAAUAUACCCAUAAGACGAGAAGACCCUGUGGAGCUUCAAAACCAAACCACUUAGUAUGUCCCUUGGUUUUUUAGUUGGGGCGACUUCGGAAUACAACAAAACUUCCAAAAUAAAACUAACUCAUUAAGGUUAACACACCAAAAUCUCCACACAGACCCAGCAAUUAAUUUGUCUGACCAAUGAACCAAGUUACCCCAGGGAUAACAGCGCAAUCUCCUUUUAGAGUCCAUAUCGACAAGGGG
rnacentral:rRNA from 1 species